CAGUGGUGUGGAAUUGUCCAAGGCCAGUAUUGCUGAUGGCACAUUAUAUUUCAUCAUCAUACCACCCAUAUUUGGACUGCAUGUCACAUUUAAGAUUAGGAUUUAUGCUUACUGCCUCACAUUGCUCUCUGUUAAGUAAAUGGGGGAUCACACCAGAUUAAGCCACAUGGUAGCGCUGUUGUGCUAGAAUUGGCCUACAGCUACCACAAGCCCUUAGCGCAGAAUUUGCAAUCAUAAGAAUAUAUCACCGAGCCAGAUGUGCUCAUGGUGGACCCAAGGAGCAAUGCAUGCACUUGGAUGUGACCUUGAGCGUUCAACACAUGAUUGACACAAGACGACCACGGCCGCAUGCUUUCUGUCCAGAUUGGGAUCAGAUGGACGCACAGACAACAAACUCCUGCGACUCCAGCACACUAGUUGCACGCCUCCAUUAGUACAGUCGAAGAUGCAUUGACGGUGAUGCAGAACCAAGGCAGCUAGCGCCAAACAACACACAUGAGGAAUGGUUCAAACUAGCUCGCAAUGUCUAAAUCCAUCACAGUGGGACACUCAAACAUGAGCAAACACUGAUGACCCUGCACCGAGUGUGCCUGACACUAGCAUAUCGUAUCUCAUUAUGAAAAGAAUCUUGCAAUCGGUAUGAUUCUCGGAAUGAUUCGACGUCACUGGUGAUUUUAGUGAUCAGAUACAUUAAAGGUGAUGGAGUUUGAGUCAUGAAUCUGGAGGAGAAAAAAAAAGGCACAAGAAACACUUGAAGAAUAACCAUUUACCAGGAUACAGCUUUCCAAAACUGCAACGUGCAG